rnacentral:rRNA from 1 species
UACACUCCUGCGGGAGGCAGCAGUGGGGAAUAUUGGACAAUGGGCGCAAGCCUGAUCCAGCCAUGCCGCGUGAGUGAUGAAGGCCCUAGGGUUGUAAAGCUCUUUCACCGGUGCAGAUAAUGACGGUAACCGGAGAAGAAGCCCCGGCUAACUUCGUGCCAGCAGCCGCGGUAAUACGAAGGGGGCUAGCGUUGUUCGGAUUUACUGGGCGUAAAGCGCACGUAGGCGGACAAUUAAGUCAGGGGUGAAAUCCCGGGGCUCAACCCCAGAACUGCCUUUGAUACUGGUAGUCUUGAGUUCGAGAGAGGUGAGUGGAAUUCCGAGUGUAGAGGUGAAAUUCGUAGAUAUUCGGAGGAACACCAGUGGCGAAGGCGGCUCACUGGCUCGAUACUGACGCUGAGGUGCGAAAGCGUGGGGAGCAAACAGGAAUAGAUACCCUAGUAGUCCCAU